rnacentral:RNase_P_RNA from 1 species
CGAGCCAGCCGGGUGAUCGCGGCAAACAAACCACCGCCUGACAUGGCGGCAGGUGAGCGCCGAGGAAAGUCCGGACUCCACAGAGCACGGUGGUUGCUAACGGCAACCCGGGGCAACCCGCGGGCACAGUGCAACAGAAAGUAAACCGCCACGCCAUGGUGCGGGGUAAGGGUGAAAGGGUGCGGUAAGAGCGCACCAGCGGAUCAGGUGACUGGCCCGGCUAGGUAAACCCCACUGGGAGCAAGGCAUCACGGCCUGGUGUUUCACCAGACCCGAUCGGAUGGUUGAGGGCUGCUCGCCCGAGUCCGAAGGUAGCUGCUUGAGGCGGCCAGCAAUGGUCGACCCAGAUGGAUGAUCACCGCCUUGAAUAAGGCACAGAAUCCGGCUUAUAGGCUGGCUCGCUCA